UACAGAGGUGGCAAGCGUUGUUCGGAAUUACUGGGCGUAAAGCGCGUGUAGGCGGCUCUUCAAGUCAGGCGUGAAAGCCCCGGGCUCAACUCGGGAACUGCGCUUGAUACUGUCGAGCUAGAGUGUGGAAGGGGCGAUUGGAAUUCCGUGUGUAGCGGUGAAAUGCGUAGAUAUACGGAGGAACACCAGAGGCGAAGGCGGAUCGCUGGGCCAACACUGACGUUGAGACGCGAAAGCUAGGGUAGCAAACGGG
rnacentral:rRNA from 1 species